rnacentral:ncRNA from 1 species
AAGGAAGCAUCCGAAAAUCCUUUUAAAAGAGUUGGAA